AGACACGGCGGGGGACACGCCAUGUGUAUAUUAUUCAUAUGAGUGACACGGCGGGGGACACACCGCUAGCGACCAUCUCAAGUUUUGACCUCCAUGGUAAUGCGUGUUUGGAAACCGUACCUCUACAAUGAUUCCCUCCUUAAGGUGAUUUCUAUCUACGUGUGCCAAGGCCCAAGGAUAUGAACCUUCCAUUCAUCCAGUUCCACAGCUAAAUUUACCAUUGGUUGAGCCGCAUGUUAUGAAUUUAGGUUGGCUUCUUUGUGUAACUAAUGUGUAAAAACAUGCAGUUAUGCCAGUGUCUUUAUUGUGAAAUUAACAUUUGUUCUUUCGUAAAAUGGUGUAAUAUUUUAUUCAGUCAUGUAAUUUCUUUCUAUUUACAACAAGGCAUACAAUUUCAAUUUAUCCGUAGGUAGUUGAAUUGUCUUAGUCGGGGUCUAAAUUGGUAGAGGGGUUGGUUUAUGUAGAGACCCGAAUAAUUUUAAAUUUUUGAUA